AUUGAACGCUGGCGGCAGGCUUAACACAUGCAAGUCGAGCGGAGCGAGGGUGCUUGCACCUUAGCUUAGCGGCGGACGGGUGAGUAAUGCUUAGGAAUCUGCCUAUUAGUGGGGGACAACAUUCCGAAAGGAAUGCUAAUACCGCAUACGCCCUACGGGGGAAAGCAGGGGAUCUUCGGACCCUGCGCUAAUAGAUGAGCCUAAGUCGGAUUAGCUAGUUGGUGGGGUAAAGGCCUACCAAGGCGACGAUCUGUAGCGGGUCUGAGAGGAUGAUCCGCCACACUGGGACUGAGACACGGCCCAGACUCCUACGGGAGGCAGCAGUGGGGAAUAUUGAACAAUGGGCGGAAGCCUGAUCCAGCCAUGCCGCGUGUGUGAAGAAGGCCUUUUGGUUGUAAAGCACUUUAAGCGAGGAGGAGGCUACUUAGAUUAAUACUCUGGGAUAGUGGACGUUACUCGCAGAAUAAGCACCGGCUAACUCUGUGCCAGCAGCCGCCGUAA
rnacentral:rRNA from 1 species